UUACUAUUUUGCUAUAUGAUCCAUUUCAUUACAAUAUAUACUCAUUAAAUCAUUACUUGUAUUUGUAUGUUGCUGCAUACUAUCUAUUUUAAUUUGACUAUCAAGAGCUUUUAGACCUUCUUAUUUUCUUUUGUAGUUCAUGGCUGGGAAGUGAAGACUUGAUACAUAACUCAUCAAGUAGCCACUCAUCCAAAUUAGCUUAACUCAAUCAACUAUCUCUAUGGUCAAAUUAAAUGAUGACAACUGAUGUUGGUAGUGAGCUAAUUGUGCUUUAUGGAUCUGAUUUUAUGGAUAUGGUUCUGGUUUGCAGCACAACCAGUUCUUGUGCAAUUUUAGCAUUCAAGGUUUUCGGUUCCGACCAUGAGACGAAAGCGCUGUGACCUUUUUCUGUUAUUGGCUGUUUGGUUGAAGUUUGAGGGCAGUUUCAAGAUAGAUUUUGUCAUGUGCCUUCACAAUGUGUGCCUUCACAGUUUGAGGGCUGCAAGGAGAGGAAAAUGAUUGUUUUCAUAGUUUUAAUUCUAUACAUACAUUAUUUCUGUAUUGGUUACUUUUCAAGUGUCAUGUCCAUGGAAGGCAAAAACUGUUGUGAUUCCAAGACACCCAAGUAAUUUCGUUUGAAUUAAGAGUUUGUGUUCUUAUUGUUAAUAUAUAUAUUCUUCUCUUUUUAUUUUCAA